GCGGGAGUGGCGGAAUGGCAGACGCAGCAGGUUUAGGUCCUGCCGCCCUAGGGCGUGGGGGUUCAAGUCCCCCCUCCCGCACCA
rnacentral:tRNA from 1 species